rnacentral:rRNA from 1 species
GAUGAACGCUGGCGGCGUGCCUAAUACAUGCAAGUCGAGCGAAUGGAUUAAGAGCUUGCUCUUAUGAAGUUAGCGGCGGACGGGUGAGUAACACGUGGGUAACCUGCACAUAAGACUGGGAUAACUCCGGGAAACCGGGCUAAUACCGGAUAACAUUUUGAACCGCAUGGGUCGAAAUUGAAAGGCGGCUCCGGCUGUCACUUAUGGAUGGACCCGCGUCGCAUUAGCUAGUUGGUGAGGUAACGGCUCACCAAGGCAACGAUGCGUAGCCGACCUGAGAGGGUGAUCGGCCACACUGGGACUGAGACACGGCCCAGACUCCUACGGGAGGCAGCAGUAGGGAAUCUUCCGCAAUGGACGAAAGUCUGACGGAGCAACGCCGCGUGAGUGAUGAAGGCUUUCGGGUCGUAAAACUCUGUUGUUAGGGAAGAACAAGUGCUAGUUGAAUAAGCUGGCACCUUGACGGUACCUAACCAGAAAGCCACGGCUAACUACGUGCCAGCAGCCGCCGUAA